rnacentral:rRNA from 1 species
GACAGAGGGUGCAAACGUUGUUCGGAAUUACUGGGCGUAAAGCGCGUGUAGGCGGCAGCGUGUGUCGGGCGUGAAAUCCCACGGCUCAACCGUGGAAGUGCACCCGAAACUGCGCAGCUAGAGUCCUGGAGAGGAAGGCGGAAUACUUGGUGUAGAGGUGAAAUUCGUAGAUAUCAAGUGGAACACCGGUGGCGAAGGCGGCCUUCUGGACAGUGACUGACGCUGAGACGCGAAAGCGUGGGGAGCAAACAGGG